AUUGAACGCUGGCGGCAUGCUUUACACAUGCAAGUCGAACGGUAACAGGCCUUCGGGUGCUGACGAGUGGCGAACGGGUGAGUAAUGCAUCGGAACGUGCCCAAUCGUGGGGGAUAACGUAGCGAAAGUUACGCUAAUACCGCAUAAGCCCUGAGGGGGAAAGCAGGGGAUCGCAAGACCUUGCGCGAAUGGAGCGGCCGAUGUCAGAUUAGCUAGUUGGUGGGGUAAAGGCCCUACCAAGGCGACGAUCUGUAGCGGGUCUGAGAGGAUGAUCCGCCACACUGGGACUGAGACACGGCCCAGACUCCUACGGGAGGCAGCAGUGGGGAAUUUUGGACAAUGGGCGCAAGCCUGAUCCAGCCAUGCCGCGUGCGGGACGAAGGCCUCGGUUGU
rnacentral:rRNA from 1 species